rnacentral:lncRNA from 1 species
CUCUGGCACCUGUGACUGACAUUUCCUUCCUCCAGAUCUUUCGGGAAUACCUGACUUACCUGAAUCAGCUGGGAACCUUGCUGGGAGGAGACCCAAGCAAGGUGCAAGAACACUCUUCCUUGUCAAUCUCCAUCACUUCACGGCUGUUCCAGUUUCUGAGGCCCCUGGAGCAGCGGCAGGCACAGGGCAAGCUCUUCCAGAUGAUCACUAUCGACCAGCUCAAGGUGCCUGGAACUGGGGGCCAGAAGACUGUGGGCAUGGGGAUCUUCCUCUGAAACAUUACCUCCUUUCCUUCUUCCUCCUAGUGCCCUAGCCCAGAACUUUCUUUCCCUGUGACUUUGAAGGCUGCCUCUUCAUCUAGUUUCUUUUACUAAGGAGCUAGAUCCCACCCCAACCUACAUCAUGAAAAGCUCUUUUUGACUUGGGUGCAUGUUAAAACUCUUUUGAGGGGUAAAUGUCGGCAUCUCUCUCUCAGGGAGGGGGCCGUGAUGGUAGAUGCCCCUCCAUGUCUUGGCUUUCCAUAGAAGCAGGCAAGGUGGACAGACAAAAUUUAACUUGAAAACCAAGAUGCCACGUGCCAGACCUUCAGGCACACAUCUCCCAGCCUGACUACCUCUCUGGCUUCUUGCUGGGUGUUUGAGCUCAAAUAUAAAACUCUGAUAUUAUCAAAACUGCCCUUUCUUUGUCAUGACGCUUACACUAUUUGCUCAGGAUAACUUGGACUUAGAGCUUACAAUUUAUUGGGAUGACAGAGAGAUAUGUUACGCAGUGGCCUUCCUUAUGUCUAGUUGAUUCCAUGUUCAAACGUGCUUCACAAAGAGUUUAUCUCUGACAUCCAGUGGGAUCCACUGGGCCACAUGUAGACUUUGUGGCACAGAUGUGGAUAUAUCUGAGGAGGGGCCUGGGUAGAAAAAUACACUUCACUAACCAGAGUCUACUUAUUACAUAAGAUGCAGAGAUGCUCCUUUGCUGAGAAUCUUGAAAUCCCGAGUUGGAUAUAUCCAAAUGCAAGCAGAAGAGUCCAGUACAUUGGAUACAUCCCAACCUCAGUGAAGGCCUCAGUUUAGUCUUAAAAAUCACUGGAUUUUUUUUCUUAGUAAUUUGUGGUCCAUUUCCCUGCCUUGGAGAAACUCUCUGCUUUGGCACCCUAAAAUUGCUGUGGAAUUUAGAGAAGAUAAAGGUAUUCACAGGGACUGGAAUGUAGUUAUUGCUUAUCAAGAGCUAAUGGUGUGCUAGACACUCUUUGAAAUCCUUUAGAUCUAUUAGCUGAUUUAGUCUUUACAAUUCCAUGAGGUACCAUGGAUGCCAUUUGGUUCGUAUUUUAAAGAGGAGGAAACAGAGGCACGAAAGAUAAGGAAGUUGCUCAGGUAUGACAGUAAGUUAGUGGGGUGAGGAUUUGAACCCUGGCAGUCUGGCUGCAGGGUCUGUGUUGUUUACUCAUUGUGCUAAAAAAGCAGUCUUCCUGAGGAACAUCACUUGGGUUGGAGAGUGGCCAAGAAGCUUCUGCCCAGCUUUUCUCUUGAUUCAGAUGAAGCAGACCAGAGCCCCAAGUUAUCUUAAUUGGGGUUGCUACAAAAUCCUGGCAACAAACAGCUACCUAUAAAAGCCAGCACCAUGGCCUCAUGGCACUUCUUGGAGGCUGUAAGAGUGCUAAUGUUGAGGCUCAGGCUUAAAGAAUGCAGAAGGCUUAGAUGUCCUGAAGCCAUUAUCUUUUCCAUUAGGGCACAUAAUUGUCCUUGGGCUUAAAAGCUGAACUAAUCUCUGCCAACAAAUAAUUGUGUGACCUUGGGGACGCCACUUCACCUUUCUGGAACAAUAGUAUAAAAGAUGGCACUUAAUAAUAAUGAUAACAGCUGCUAUACAUGGAGUAGUCACUGUCUGUCAGCACUUGGGACAGGUUAUUUAUUUAAAUCUUCCAGAAACACUUGGAGGUUUUUAAUCCCCAUUUUGCAGAAGCAAAAAUAGGCUCAGAAAGGUCAAGAAACUUUCCCAAGACCACACAGCUCACAAGUAAGUGAACAGACUCCAAAACAGAUGUUUUGGCUCAUAAAGUCAUGUUUUUAACCACACACUAUACAGGAUUGAGAAACAAGUAGGUGCUACAAACAGGGUUAGAAAACUUUUUUAUAAAGGGCAACAUAGUAAAUAUCGACUUCGUGAUCCAUAAAUGGUUGGUGUUACAAACUACUCAACUCUGUCCCUGUAGUGCAAAAACAACUGUACACUAAGUAAAUGCUGUGUUCCCAGGGGAUCCUGGUUUAGACAGCAGAUAUUCUUGGAGUUCCCAAGAGGGAGAGAUCAGGGAGCAUUUGAAGGAUCAGUGGCAUCUCUGUGCAGGAGGCAGAACUGACAAAAUGUCUAGAGAGAGGAAGGAGUUUUCUGGUGAAGAAAGGGGUAUCAUCUUAUGGGGACAGGGCAGGAGGCAGGCUGGCUAAAACUUGGUGCAGGGUGAGGGAUCCUCCUGGUGGCUCUGGUUGAGAGGAGAAGACUAGGCUUGCUGUGUCCACUGAUGCCCCUGGAGCAUGCUCCAGGUGUUUGAGAAUCAGCAAGGAAGCCAGGGCACCUGGAUCAGAGUGACUAGGACAAUAGUGGGGAGGGAAUCAGAGCAGGAAGGAGAGAACCAUACAAGGUCUGGUAGGUUGCUGAAGGACUUUUGCUUCUCUCUGUAUGAAAUAAAGACAUGCAGAGGGAUUUAUCUCAUUUAUGUUUUAAAAGAACAUAUUUUAAGGUUAGCAAUGGGAUGUCCUGAUGAUGAGUGAUGUGAGAGUGAGAAUGGAAUC